AUGCCGCAGCAAGGAGAAGGUCUGGAAAAGCUGCUUCAAAGCCAGCCUCAUCAAAAUGACCUGGCUGCUCUGCCCCGCGGCUUGUGCGCGCUUGUGGACCGCGCGGGCCUUCGGGAGAUCGAUGCAGGCCUGGGGCAGUCUCCUUUCUGGACUGAGAAGAGAAGAGUGGAGAAGAGCCCCUUCCCAUUAGUGCUUUUGCAUUGGUUUGGCUUUGGCUACACACAGCACUGGUUGUUUCUGGUGGGAUCGUUGGCUAUGUAAAAACAGGCAGGGUGCCGUCCCUGGCUGUAGGGCUGCUUUUCGGCAGCCUAGCUGGCCUGGGUUCUUAUCAGAUGUCUCAGGAUCCAAGGAACGUUUGGGUUUUCCUAGCUGCUACAUCUGUUACUUUUGUUGGUGUUAUGGGAUUGAGAUCCUACUACUAUGGAAAAAUCAUGCCUGUAGGUUUAAUUGCAGGUGCCAGUUUGCUGAUGGCCGCCAACAUUGGAGUUCCUAUGUUGAUGACAUCUGAUUAGCAGAAGUCAUGUUCCAGCUUGGACUCCUGAAGGAUUAAAAAUCUGCAUCUUCCACUAUUUUCAAUGUAUUAAGAGAAAUAAGUGCAGCAUUUUUGCAUUUGACAUUUUACCUAAAAAAAAAAA